UACGGAGGGUGCAAGCGUUAAUCGGAAUUACUGGGCGUAAAGCGCGCGUAGGUGGUUUGUUAAGCUGGAUGUGAAAGCCCCGGGCUCAACCUGGGAACUGCAUCCAGAACUGGCAGGCUAGAGUACGGUAGAGGUAAGUGGAAUUUCCUGUGUAGCGGUGAAAUGCGUAGAGAUGGGAAGGAACAUCAGUGGCGAAGGCGACUUACUGGACUGAUACUGACACUGAGGUGCGAAAGCGUGGGGAGCAAACAGG
rnacentral:rRNA from 1 species